rnacentral:tRNA from 1 species
GCAUUGGUGGUUCAGUGGUAAAAUGCUUGCCUGCCACGCGGGCGGCCCGGGUUCGAUUCCCGGCCAAUGCA